rnacentral:rRNA from 1 species
UACGAAGGGUGCAAGCGUUAAUCGGAAUUACUGGGCGUAAAGCGUGCGUAGACGGUUAUGUAAGUCAGAUGUGAAAGCCCCGGGCUCAACCUGGGAAUUGCAUUUGAGACUGCAUAGCUAGGGUGCGGAAGAGGGAAGCGGAAUUUCCGGUGCAGCGGUGAAAUGCGUAGAUAUCGGGAGGAACACCAGUGGCGAAAGCGGCUUCCUGGUCCAGCACCGACGUUCAGGCACGAAAGCGUGGGGAGCAAACAGG